GUGCUCACUUUGGUAGCACACAUACUAAAUUUGUAAUGAUACAGAGAAGAUUAAUAUGGCCCCUGCACAAGGAAGACACGCAAAUUUAUAAGACUAUUUUAGUAUUG
ensembl:snRNA U6 U6 spliceosomal RNA